ensembl:lincRNA
CUCAGGCGUCCCAGGAUUGCUCAGGAGCCUGCCCUCUUCGCUCCAUCCCUCCCAGGAGGUCUGGGUCAGCCCGCAUGAGAUCCACAGGGGCUGCAGACUCCGUAUGUCCAGACCCUGGGCUCCCCAAAGGUUGACCGAUUUUGGACCAUGGCCUUGGAAUCACUGGAAACUUCAAAUACAGGAAGAAGCAAUGUCCGUUCUGAAGGAGCACUGGUCACAGCCAGUUAAUCCGCCAUCUCCCUCCUUGAGCGGUGCACACACGGCUGUGCACGCCUUCCGCCUUCUUCUGUCUGCUCCAAACCUUCCCUGACCAAGCAUGUGCUCCUUGGGGUCUUCCUGAAGCCGGUGUCACACCACAAAGGGGACAGAACCCUGGUAACAGGUGAUCCCCGGGUGGAGGGCUUUGCUGUUUUUCAGGAGCUAAAAUCUGCCAUUUCACUGAGCGGAUCCCCCGGUUAACAACAGGAGGGGUGGAAGCCGACAGCUGAGACAGUGGCCUCUGGCUUUAUGAAAGGUGACUUUGAAAUGCCGCAUUUGUUCUGACGACGCCUGGGCAGCUGAGCUGUACUGUGACAAAUGACUCCAGCACGAGGCCACGCUGUCAGGAGCAGUGGGGAAUAAAAGGCUCCUUGUCAGUGGCUCCUCUUUAAAAUUUUCCUUUUUAUUGUGAACUAUUUCAAACACACACAUGGAGAGAAUGGGAGCAUGGAACCCCUUGGUCCACCCCACCCAGAUGUGAUAAUUAGCAGGAUUUUGUCACUCUCCAACCACGUCCGUCCUCUCCCUCUCCCUCUCCUUAUCCCCCCCUCCCUGCCAAAGUAUUUAAAAUAAAUCUCAACUGUAAUGUGACUUCACCUCUAUAUAAUUUCUCUCUUGAUAAAAAAAAAAGAGGACAUUUUCUUACAUAACCACAAAGCCACCAUCACGUCUAAUAAAAUAAAUAUUAAC